UGCCGGCCCAGGGUUGCCCUGAAGACACAGGGGUGAGGCUCAGCAGGCCCACGAUCAGGGGUUCUCUCUGCUCCAGGAUGGGGCCCCAGCCAGGCUCUCCAUGUGCUCAUGGUAACCUGGAAUCUGCGGUCAUCAGAGUGUCCAGGCACCUGGGCUUUGUGUCUGAGCUCUUGGGCUGGUGCCCGGGGGUGCCUGGGGUCAGACUCCACUGGGACUGCACAGCCCUGGCUGGCGCCAUCUCCUCGCAGCUCCAGCUCCAGUACCCGGCUCUCCAGCUGAAGGAUCUGUGGGACAACUGGCAUGAGCAGGUGCACCUGCCCGCGGGCCACCUGGGGGCACGUGUCCUGGGCCUGCACCCCCUGUCCCCCGUGCACUGAGGCUGGUUCACACGGCUGCUCACCUCACUCUUCAGCUGGAAGAUUUCAGCCUCGUGCUGCU